GGGGGUGUUUUGGCUUCGACGGGGGCAUGAAAGAUUUAUUAAGCGAGUCGAGGGAAGCAUGUGUCCUCGUUAAUAAAGUAUGCACUAAAUGUAAACGCAGAAGACAAUUUUGCAUUAGCAGCUUAAUAUAAGCUACUCAUCAGCCCGGGUUGCCUACGGCUCGGAUCACUGGUGUCAUUGAAGUGGGACACGAAGCCUGGCAAAGCUUUGAGCCAGAGGGGUAUUAAUGAAGCUACCGAGAGUGUAAGCCUGUUCAUGGGCGUGCAUUUGGGGGAAUCUUAAAACAUGAACUGCACUCGGAGAAAGAUAAUGACGUCGGCUUUCGGACACGGGUUCGACACCCGUCACCUCCACCA
rfam:Clostridium butyricum E4 str. BoNT E BL5262 CLP.Contig65, whole genome shotgun sequence.